AUGGAGGAGCAGACGGUUAAUCAACUGGACAACCUGCUGCUGCAGUUAGGUAUAGAAACACGAGAACUUGCUCAGAAGAAGGAUGACCUCAAACAACAAAUACAAAUUUGUGAGUCCAACAUUCAGGAGAAGAAGGAUUACAUCAGCACGACUCACAAGAGCCUGAGCAGACUCAGCGAGGAGGUCCAGCAAAAACAAAACACUCUGAGGUUUAUCAAAGAAAACACUAAGAAUCUCCAGCGAACCGGACAUCUGCUGCUUCAGUAUGAGAAGACACUGGAAGCUGAGCUAGAGAAGAGACGGGACGGCUAUAAUCAAGACGUGAAAAUCUUCCAGGAGAGGAUGGAGAGCUACAGGAACGUGUUUCAGCAGUAUAAGGAUCGAUACUGUCAGAACUCACUGGCUCAGAAACUGCUGAAGAUUCAAGCCGAGAAUGAGGAGAUCGAGAGGAGAAUCAGAGCAACGGAAGAACAGAUACUGGAGAAGGAGAGACUGCUGAUGGCAGCACUGGGUGAAGAUGAGCCAGUCACUGAUGCUGCUGACAGCAGUAAGUGUCAAGACAAUGACGGCACACAAACUGAAAACGAGGAGUCAUUUGAUGAAAUGGACCCUUAUCAAGACCCAGUAAUGCAGAGGCCUGAAGAAUAUGCAGAUGAAGGUCCUUCUGAGGAAAAUAAGGAUAAAACAGCUGAAAGUGAAUCUCAAACUGACACAUUUCACCACGGCCUGUGGACGAAGGCUGAAACUGGAGAAGAUCAAAUGCAAGAAGGUGAUCAGAAGCAGUCAGAGGAGGCGAAUGAACUGGAGGGGAAUAUGAAUGUUUCAUGUGCUUCUGAGCUCAUGGUGGAAAUAUCAGAGGAGGAGGAGGAAGAGCGUUUGGAGGUGACCACAGCAGAUGCUCAGGAGGACACAGUGAAUGAGCGUGGCUUAUGUCCUCCUCCAUCACCGGCUAGAAUAAAAGCCAUGCCGACCACCCCCACCUUCUCUCUAAACAACAGUCCCAGUUCCUCACCUGGACGGCAGGAGAUCUCAGACACCAAGUCGCCUGCUUUCGUCUUCUCCAUGAAUUCUGGUCCAAGUACACCUGCGUUCUCUAAGCUGGGUUGUGAUUUUGCUGCAGAAGAGGCAUCUCCAUUUACCUUCACAAGCUCCUAUUUCAGCGACAGGAAGUCACCAGGAUUGGCACCCAAGUUCUCAGGUUUCCUGUUCGAUGAAGCCGAGAGUCGUCAAGAGGAGUUUUCCUUCUCGUUUGGGACGGUGAGCCCUCAGCAGAACUCUUCCACACAGGACACGGCAGGUUCUGCGGAUUCAUUUCCAUUUUCAUUCAGCUUUGGAAAAAUGCUAUUACAGGAAAUCAUCAGGAUUGGUUGAUCAUAACACCAUUCAAGAUAAGGAAGGAUAAGGGCAGAGACAUGAGUAAGAAACAAACUGGAGGAGGAAAAUGAGCCCAGAGCUGAAGAUAUUCUGCACAAAAAUAGUUCAUUUUUAAAUACCUGUAUAUGUAGUAGGUGACAAAGCAAUUAAAAAUGGUUAAGGUGAAUAAGGAGAAACAGUAAGGUUCAUACUUUCAAUUCUCUGUGAUGCAGCCAAAGAACUGUAUGACACUGGAAUUAUCUUUACAACCAGAACAUGUUUAUGUCAUUGUAUUACGAUGAUUUAAUGUGAGCCAAUUCUCUCUUGCUAGAAACAAUGGUCUAUGAGAAUGACAUCGGAAAACAGUUCAGAUAAAUAACAUACAGGUGAAGAAAAUAUGGAAGCUGGUUUCUGCCACAUGAAAAACUAUGAUUUUUUUUUUUUUUUACCUCACAAUUAUGACUUUUUUUUAAACUAACUUUUUAUCAUCAAUUUGGACUUUUUUCCCUCAAAAUUGAGAAUAAAAAAUGCAAUAUUUAAAUUCA
ensembl:lncRNA